rnacentral:lncRNA from 13 species
UAACCCUUGUUAAUGAGUGAGUUUGGUUGUUCUAUUAGUUCACAGGAGAAGUGAUUGUUAAAAAAAACCUAGAAUCUUAUUCCCCCUCUUUUGUUCCCUGUCUCACCAUGAGAGAUGCCUUCUUCCACUUUGCCUUCUGCCCUGAGUGAAGCUUCCUGGUCCCUAUCAGAAGAGAAGCAGAUACUGGUGCCAUGCUUGUUCAGCAUUCAGGACUUUGAGCUUAAUAAAGCUCUCUUCUUUAUGCAUUGCCCAAUCUCAGGAUUUCAUUGUGGAACCAAUAAAAUCAUUAAGUGA